rnacentral:rRNA from 1 species
AUGAACGCUGGCGGCGUGCCUAAUACAUGCAAGUCGAGCGAACAGACGAGGAGCUUGCUCCUCUGACGUUAGCGGCGGACGGGUGAGUAACACGUGGAUAACCUACCUAUAAGACUGGGAUAACUUCGGGAAACCGGAGCUAAUACCGGAUAAUAUAUUGAACCGCAUGGUUCAAUAGUGAAAGACGGUUUUGCUGUCACUUAUAGAUGGAUCCGCGCCGCAUUAGCUAGUUGGUAAGGUAACGGCUUACCAAGGCAACGAUGCGUAGCCGACCUGAGAGGGUGAUCGGCCACACUGGAACUGAGACACGGUCCAGACUCCUACGGGAGGCAGCAGUAGGGAAUCUUCCGCAAAGGGCGAAAGCCUGACGGAGCAACGCCGCGUGAGUGAUGAAGGUCUUCGGAUCGUAAAACUCUGUUAUUAGGGAAGAACAAAUGAGUAAGUAACUAUGCACGUCUUGACGGUACCUAAUCAGAAAGCCACGGCUAACUACGUG